UAUCACCAGUUCCCGUACGCUCUCAGAAGCUAAGCAAUGUUGAGUCUGGUCAGUAACAAGGUAGGUGACCGCUUGUGAAUUUAGGUUG